rnacentral:tRNA from 1 species
AGGGGCGUAGCUCAGAUGGUAGAGCGCUCGCUUAGCAUGCGAGAGGUACGGGGAUCGAUACCCCGCGCCCCUG